rnacentral:lncRNA from 1 species
UCCCAAUAUGCUAGAGCCGACUCCAAUCUUCCUAGGGUCGACUCUAUUCCUCUUGAAACUUGAAAUUGCUCAUUUUAACAUCUGUUUCAAUGAAGGAGUUUGCUUUGGGAUUGGCUCCACUAAGUCUGAAACUUAAAAAUCUUUCAUUAAAAUUUUUAACUUAGUAAAUCUUGGGGACAUCUUUUUCAUGGAUUAUUUUUUUAAUUUAAAUAUCUGAAA